rnacentral:rRNA from 1 species
GACGAACGCUGGCGGCGUGCUUAACACAUGCAAAUCGAACGGAAAGGCUCCAGCUUGCUGGAGUGCUCGAGUGGCGAACGGGUGAGUAACACGUGGGCAAUCUGCCCUGCACUCUGGGAUAAGCCUGGGAAACUGGGUCUAAUACCGGAUAGGACCUUUCUCCUCAUGGGGUUUGGUGGAAAGUUUUUCGGUGCAGGAUGAGCCCGCGGCCUAUCAGCUUGUUGGUGGGGUAAUGGCCUACCAAGGCGACGACGGGUAGCCGGCCUGAGAGGGUGAUCGGCCACAUUGGGACUGAGAUACGGCCCAGACUCCUACGGGAGGCAGCAGUGGGGAAUAUUGCACAAUGGGCGAAAGCCUGAUGCAGCGACGCCGCGUGAGGGAUGACGGCCUUCGGGUUGUAAACCUCUUUCAGUAGGGACGAAGCGCAAGUGACGGUACCUGCAGAAGAAGCACCGGCUAACUACGUG